AUUGAACGCUGGCGGCAUGCUUUACACAUGCAAGUCGAACGGGCUUAGGGGCUUGCUCCUAAGUUAGUGGCGAACGGUGAGUAAUACAUCGGAACGUACCGUGUAGUGGGGGAUAACGUAGCGAAAGUUACGCUAAUACCGCAUACGAUCUACGGAUGAAAGUGGGGGGACCUUCGGGCCUCACGCUAUACGAGCGGCCGAUGUCUGAUUAGCUAGUUGGUGAGGUAAAGGCUCACCAAGGCAACGAUCAGUAGCGGGUCUGAGAGGAUGAUCCGCCACACUGGGACUGAGACACGGCCCAGACUCCUACGGGAGGCAGC
rnacentral:rRNA from 1 species